ensembl:lncRNA
GGUGGCGAGGGGAUCCAUCCAUCACAAGGGUAUUAACUAAAAAGUUGCUUCCUUGGCAACCUGGAUACUGCGACAAUGCCCUUGAACAGCAUUAUCAAGUCAAGACAAGCCAAAGUUAACCCAGAAGACUGUCAACAGUUCAGGGAUCACCUACCUUGGUGAUAGCCCCUAAGAGCUAACACAGGAUUCCUUAGACAUGACAUUACAGCCAGAGAUAGCAGGAGUGUUCACAGUCUGAAAUAUCUGCCUCAAGAAUUCAGGAUCCACUGAGCUGUCCAAAGUUCAAUGUGCAGACUGUUAUUAAAGCUGAUAACUCUGCCUGUUCUGGACACUAAUAGGAGUAUACUGAACUAAUCUAAGUCUCUAUCAUCAAGGGUUUUGCUGGCGGCCCCAGGCCCUCCAAUUUCCCCAACAUCUAUUUCACUGGUUGGAGCCCCAGGCUUUUGGUGGUGGUGGUGCCAGUACUGUUGCUUAAGCAAAGAUGCCCAAAUAAGUGAUCUCAUUUACAUUUUUAAAAGGAAGAUCCAACUCCAAAACUUCUCUUCUUCCCUCCCUUGAGUGACAGGGCAGGGCCAGAGUGCCGUUUAACACAUCAGGUGAAAAUGAACUCUAUAAAUGUGCUCUAAUGCUGCAGACACCGAGCAGAAUGGACUCCUCGCAACCCAGGAGGCUGCUGUUAAUGGCAUGUAAACUACGUUCAGAUAGGGAGAAACCAGACAGGGAAGUCUGUGGUCCAGGAAAAACUAACAACGGAGACAGCAACAAGACCCAGAUACCAAAAUCUCAGCAAAUAUAGGAUACAGGAAAUCAAAAUGGCCAAGAGAGAUGCAAGCCAGCACUUGUAACAGCUCUGGGACAGCAGUCAAGAAUGGAGAGAAACUCCUAUAUCCCACAAAGGCGAACUUUCGCCUGUGCUCCAUGAGAAAAGAUGAACAAAUACUAGAGAGAGCAGCUCAAUAAAAUAAUGGGCUAGAGGGAGGUAAGAGCCUGGCACAGAGCCUGAUGAAUCCAUGGAGGUGGUGGGGGAAAUGUCUGCUGAACCGGUCUUGUCUCUAUCACAGAGAACCAGGAGGCAUACAGGAUGAAUGGGAGGAUGUAACAUCCUUAAUGGAUCUCAGUGGAUCCUUAACAGGCGCAGGCAUUCUACUUUCCAUAAGACACCCUAUAAUGUACUUCUCCGUAUCCCUAAUAAAGGUGAGAUAAGGGGCUCCAGUUGUUUAGCUAGCUUAUCAGUGGUGGAAGCCACAUAUAGCAGCGGUGGGUGUUUAAUUUUAGCCAAGAUCUCCCCAGAUUUCCUUGUGUGUUUCCUCAUAGGCAUGUCGUUUAUUCUCCUAACCCCACAGCACACUAGGCCCUACCAAAUGAUGAACCCAAACAGUCUUUCCAUUCCCUAUAGCUGAGCCCCUGUUAACUCCCAGGCACGAUGGACUUCCCAAUAUUCCCCAAGAAUAUUUUCCUUCCAGCUGCUGUCUUCCAUGUACUCUUCUGCCUCUGGGAAGCCAUAGCUCUGGCCUCUUCUGUAUUCUUGCAGACAUGAUCCAACAUUACCAAUGUUUAUUGACAUGCUUGUCUCGCCCACGAGACUGAGAAUCAAGAAAUCAGAGAAAUCUAUUCAAUUUUGUAUUCUCUCACCUUGCCUAACAAGCUACCUGGCACAGGGAAGAUACAAAAAAUAUACAUAUAUAUAUCAGCUAAAUGAAAUAUUGCCAGCCAGCCCAGAACUGAAGAGCGUCAGCUGGGCAAAGACCCCGUGCCAGCAUGACAUCAACUGUUAUGCAACCAGUCGAGAGAUAAAUCAUACCUUUAAAACAAAAAGGUGAAAUAUUUUUAUAUCUACAUCAACAAAGCAAUGCUGGUGUGGAGAGUAAGCCAAAACAAACAGCCUUACUGGAAAAGGUGAUAAGUCCUAAAGGCGUUGUUCUAACAGAACCCUACCUGGAAAGCCAGCUGCCACGGGCUUUCGUCUUGCACAGUGAAACUUCCCCAGAGAGCUCAGAAAUAAGGGGGAAAUAUCACCCUCUGAGAUUUAAACUUUAAAGAGCACAAAGCCUCAAGGCCUGCAAGCUUUGACUGUAUCCUAAUUAAUGGCAAAAUAUAAUUAAAGAAAGAGUUUGGGUCAGGGAUUGGGGACAUGGUAAAAGGAGAAUUUCGGAGCAAAUUCUGGAGAGAAUUCUCUGGGGAGAAGGAACCUCAGCCAUAGACAGGAAGUUUUCCCUUAUGGGGUCCUCGCCUGAAUCCGGUGAUUGCUCAGUUCGCCCAUCUCCCUUGUUCCAAAGGCAAAUGAGCCAAGCAACCUGCAGCCCUCUGCUACCUUCAGGCAGAGAACGUGGGGAAGAGAACAGGUCGGUUUUCAGCUUCCAAUGAUGGCUAUAUUUAAUUCUGUAAAUUACUAAGCAGGCAUGCUUUUACAUACUCAGGUUAGUGAGCUUAGUUAACAUGAUUAUGGUCUGAGAGAUGGAUCCACUCUCAGUGAGCUGAAAACACAAAUCAUUUUUUUUCUGAGUGCCAAAUAAUGAAUAUCGCCCAUAAAAUUCUUUUGGAAGAGUUGGCUGGCGUUUCUGCUGGCUUAUGCGUCAUCCUUUGUAUUCAUGCAUGUUUUCUUCAGACUUCUACACUGUGUGAAUCAAGUUUUUACUGAGGGUAAUCACUUUUGGUCAUUACUAGUUUUUACCCAACAGACAACAAUUUACUUAGCACGACUCACCGUCGUAGUGUAAAACAAAACUCUUUCCUCUCAGGGUGGAAAUGUCACAGAAACAGUUUUGCUUCGCCAAAACUAAAUUAAUACUGCUUUGGCAAGACUGAGGCUAAUUUCAACAAAAUUUAAUUUGCAAAAACCAGCCCAAGGCUACCAGGAUAUAAAUUCACUUGAUGUGUUAAUUUCACACUCUAGAGUCCUCAUCCCACGGGUGGAUGGGUGAUCUCAAGUAUGUAAAGUAGGGGAGUGUCUGAAUUUACCCAAGCAACCCCAGAUGGCAGGGCUCCAAGCCCCGCAGGGAGCCACAGCCCCCAGCUUCCCUCCUGCCAGUCAUUGGGAAAGCAAGGAUUCUGCUAGAAAUCAGCCAGGCUGAGUAAAUUAUUUUCAUUAUGCAGAGCUCUAUCACUGGGCACCAGGGUCUCAUUUAAUAAACUCUUUCUUCCACAUCUUCAUACAGAAGGGACACUUUCAAUACGGGCAAAUAAUAAUAUAAACUCGAUCAGCUCCAGCUAGAUCUAAAUGUGUACAGAGUG